AUGAGUCUAUCCAAACUUUAUCCAAAAUAUUUUGAUGAUGGAGAACUCAGGGACCUUAGACAUCACCUUCAUCUUUACAUUGCUGAUGUCCGAGUAGAUGAUCGCUUCUAUGGUUUAAGUAAUAUUUGUGAGAUUUCUCAAAAAAUGGUGGAGAUAAGGAAACAUAUUGUAUAUCCCUUGGUUUAUCGUCUUUUGAAGCUAGCACUGGUAUUGCAUGUUGCCACUGCUACAAUUGAGAGAUCUUUUUCAGCUAUGAGAAUUGUGAAGACAUAUUUGCGCAAUCUUCUUGGUGACAACACCUUGAAGUACAACCUUAUUUGUUAUGCGGAGAAAAUAGAAAUGAGGAAGGUUAAAAAUGAUGCAGUAAUUGACCGCUUUGAGGCCAUGAAAGAACGCAGGAAACCUUUUUAG
rnacentral:rRNA from 1 species